CCUGAUUCAAUCGGGAAAAGGGGAUAGAUACUGUGUACCUAGAGGAUUUUAGAGGUUAGUGGAAUUUCCGGUGGAGCGGUGAAAUGUGUUGAUAUCGGAAGGAAUGCCGAAAGCGAAAGCAGCUAACUAUAAAAUAUCUGACGGUCAGAGACGAAAGUUUGGGUAGCAAACGGGAUUAGAUACCCCGGUAGUCCAAACCGUAAAUGAUGCUUGCUAGGUGUUUGUCUCGCUCUGCGGGAUGAGUGCCGUACCUAACGGAUUAAGCAAGCCGCCUGGGGAGUAUACUCGCAAGAGUGAAACUCAAAGGGAUAGGCGGGGGAACACACAAGCAGUGGAUUAUCUAGAUUAAUUGGAUAAUAAGCCAAAAAUCUUACCUAGGCUUGACAUAUGUUGUGUCACCCAGGAAACUGGGUUAUUCGUAGCAAUACGAAGCCUCAUACAGGUGGUGCAUGGUCGUCGUCAGCUCGUGCCGCAAGGUGUCUAGUUAAGUCUAGUAACGAGCGCAACCCUCGUCGUAUGUUAGAAUGUCAUACGAGACUGCUUCGGUAACGAAGAGGAAGGAGAGGAUGAUGUCAGAUCCUCAUGCCCCUUAUGUCUAGGGCGUCAUAGAUAAUACAAUGGGUAGGACAGCGUGAAGCAAUAUCGUGAGAUGGAGCAAAACAUUAAACCUAUCCUCAGUUCGGAUUGUAGUCUGGAACUCGACUACAUGAAGUUGGAAUUGCUAGUAAUGGCGGGUCAGCCAUACCGCCGUGAAUAUGUC
rnacentral:rRNA from 1 species